GACGAGUGGAUAAAUCUCUGAUUCUUCCAUCAGAAAAAGAAUUUUGGACAAAUUUUACGCUCCCCCAAGAAAAAAUGAAGCAUUCUCAUUCCUGCCUUGACCAUUGUGUGAAAGGAAAAAGUAAUGUUUCUAAGUGGUUUGAAGUCAGCUAAAAAGAAGUGUAUUCAGUGAAAAUCACCCUGAUAACCCAUCAAUAUGAUGUUUCAUAAAUCUUGCCCUCUGAAUGAGAACAGAAAUCAGGUCAUGUUUCUUUACUUCAGAUUAAGGAUUGGCAUGAUUCAGCAGGAUCCCAGCAGGCAGGGAAGAAUGAGACCUCCCGAACAACUUGGAGGCAGGAUUUAUACACACCUGCACCCAGCUUUGCAUGUGAAACAAGGACACUGAGCACUGUGAAGGGGAUGAUUUUCACCCACUGUAAUGUUUUAAGCUGACGUGAUAAACUCUUGCUCUGAUGGAAAACCCGUUAAAAAGCAGACCUGGGAGCAGCAAUACCAGCUUGUCACCCAACACUGAUCUCCUUGAAGUAGGUGUGUGAACUUUAGUAUCCCUUCUACCUAAGGUACAGGUUUUGUGGGGUACAAAUAAGAACCCUUCUACGUUGUGCUGACUUGCUCUUCACUAGGCCAAAGAAAUGUAAAUACAGAUCAGGAAAUGUUCAAGGCAACGCAUGGUAUGGGGAGUUAAUCUACUUUAUAUGCAUAUAGAAAUCUUUUAUAGGGAUGAUCAUCAACACAAGCUCUUGUCUGAUGUGCACUGUAAAUAAAGUUGUGUCCCAGGCCUCUGUAAAUCUCAGCAGCCUGGACUGCUCUGAGCAUUGAGAGAACCCAGCUCAGCACGGAGAACAGAAUGCUGACACGUAGCACUUCAGGUCAUUGUGAAUUUCCCAGCUUUAAACCGAGCCCUAAACACGACUGUAAAAGCGCUGUGAUGAGGCCUCUGUGAGCAUGAGCUUCCCAGGGUGCGCUGGGAUUUUCUGGGAUGAGAACAAAGCGCCUCUGUCUGAGGGCUCAGCGUUCUUCGUGACUAAUCUGGAGCUGGAGACUCAGCCCCAACAGCAACUGGUUUCUCUGCUCUGGGUUCCAGCUGCUGGGCAUAGUUUGUUUACUUUACCCUCUGCAAACCUUGUAAUGUGUAUACUUAAAGGAAAAAAAGUCUGCAAACUUCAGAAGAUGAAAGACACCACUUCAUAAGUCUUCCACCUCUGAGUAUAGGAACAAAGAGCCAGCCAUGAUUAUAUUUAACGCAUUGUUGCCAAGUAUCCUGAAAAUACAUUGAGGAGUGCUGUAUGAUUUUUGUAUGCACUGGAAUAUAGAUGUGCAAAGCUGAACAGAGCUUCAUUUCCUUCCUGUGAUUGGUGUUUGCAAUGGCUUAGAAUCUCUUAAAAUGCUUUGCCAAAGUGGGAUGGUGAAGAAAAAACAUUUUAUUGAUAGAAUUGCUGUUUUUCUCUCCUUUUUUAAUGUCAUGAGCCUCCAUGAAAGCACAUCUCC